rnacentral:rRNA from 1 species
CGUUAGGAUGAACGCUGGCGGCGUGCUUAAUACAUGCAAGUCGAACGAAGAGCCCUUAAUCGAAGAUUCUGACGAGCUUGCUCUGAAGAUGAUUCACCCUAGGGCUACUGAGUGGCGGACGGGUGAGUAACGCGUGGGUAACCUGCCCUAGACAGGGGGAUAACAUCAAGAAAUUGGUGCUAAUACCGCAUAUGCUCACAGUAUCGCAUGAUACAGUGAGGAAAACUCCGGUGGUCUAAGAUGGACCCCGCGUCUGAUUAGCUAGUUGAGGGGUAACGGCCCACCAAGGCGACGAUCAGUAGCCGACUUGAGAGAGUGAUCGGCCACAUUGGGACUGAGACACGGCCCAAACUCCUACGGGAGGCAGCAGUAGGGAAUAUUGCACAAUGGGGGAAACCCUGAAUGCAGCGACGCCGCGUGAAGGAUGAAGUAUUUCGGUAUGUAAACUUCUAUCAGCAAGGAAGUAAAAUGACGGUACUUGACUAAGAAGCCCCGGCUAAAUACGUGCCAGCCGCCGC